GUUUUACGCGAUUUCAUGUGACCGACGCUGUAUCCAUGUGCUGAUUUUCCAGACUCCGAAAGUAACAUCAUUGCAGAUGAUUGUGGUGAUCGAGAUUUGAGCGAUCAAUGGAACAACCCUAGCCAGAGGAGCUCCGUGGUGUGGGCGUCCGCCCGAGAGGAUGGGCAAGUUUUGAUGGACGUGGAUGAAGAAGAGGAAUCAUGGGUCAACAGCGGCAGCGGGGACUUGAGUAAGGAGGAAAUGGAUGCCAUGGAGGACAAGGUGUUUUGGGAAACUUGCAUGGCCAUAGGUUACCCAUGAAUUGGAAGCCUGUUAUCUCUUUUGUCAAUCUUCGCCAAAAUUUCGAAUCAAACUUUACACAAAAGGAGUACAACACAUAGAAUUUAGUCGUGGAUAUGUAAAAAGAAAAACUGUGGAAUGCUCAAGGAACAAUGUUGUAUUAUGUUA